rnacentral:misc_RNA from 1 species
UCCGGUUUGUCACCGGCAGUCUCGUAUGAGUCCCCAACUAAAUGCUGGCAACAUACGACGAGGGUUGCGCUCGUUGCGGGACUUAACCCAACAUCUCACGACACGAGCUGACGACAGCCAUGCACCACCUGUGAACCUGACCCGAAGGGAAGCCGUGUUUCCACGGCGGUCAGGCACAUGUCAAGCCCAGGUAAGGUUCUUCGCGUUGCGUCGAAUUAAACCACAUGCUCCGCUGCUUGUGCGGGUCCCCGUCAAUUCCUUUGAGUUUUAAUCUUGCGACCGUACUCCCAAGGCGGUCAACUUCACGCGUUAGCUGCGUUACCAAGCCCGUUAAGACCCGACAACUAGUUGACAUCGUUUAGGGCGUGGACUAC